GACUAUUCAUAUUGCAAAUUCCAGGGAUUGAACGGGCGGCCUCCGGAUGGAUAACCGUGUACGGGUGGCUUCACUUAUAAUUAACUUUAAUUGGUAAAAAAGCACCGGCUAACUACGUGCCAACUACCGCGGUGAUACGUAGGGUGCGAGCGUUGUCCGGAUUUAUUGGGCGUAAAGGGCUCGUAGGUGGUUGAUCGCGUCUCGAAGUGUAAUCUUGGGGCUUAACCCUGAGCGUGCUUUCGAUACGGGUUGACUUGAGGAAGGUAGGGGAGAAUGGAAUUCCUGGUGGACCGGUGGAAUGCUCAGAUAUCAAGAGGAACACCAGUGGCCAAGGCGGUUCUCUGGGCCUUUCCUGACGCUGAGGAUCGAAAUCGUGGGGAGCGAACAGGCUUAGAUACCCUGGUAGUCCACGCUGUAAACGGUGGGUACUAGGUGUGGGGUCCAUUCCACGGGUUCCGAGCCGUAGCUAACGCUUUAAGUACCCCGCCUGGGGAAUACGGCCGCAAGGCUAAAACUCAAA
rnacentral:rRNA from 1 species